rnacentral:tRNA from 1 species
GGUUAUGGCUCAGUGGAGGAACAUUUGCCUAGCACGCAUAAGACUCUGGGUUUGAUCCCCAGCACCA